UACGUAGGGAGCAAGCGUUGUCCGGAAUGACUGGGCGUAAAGGGUGCGUAGGCGGUAUGUCAAGUUGGAAGUGUAAUACCUGGGCUUAACUUAGGUGCUACUUCCAAGACUGAUGUACUUAGAGUGUGGGAGAGGUAAGUGGAAUUCCUAGUGUAGCGGUGGAAUGCGUAGAUAUUAGGAGGAACACCAGUGGCGAAGGCGGCUUACUGGACCAUAACUGACGCUGAGGCACGAAAGCGUGGGGAGCAAACAGGAUUAGAUACCCUGGUAGUCCACGCCUUAAACGAUGGAUACUAGGUGUAGGGGGUAUCGACUCCCCCUGUGCCGACGUUAACACAAUAAGUAUCCCGCCUGGGGAGUACGGCCGCAAGGUUGAA
rnacentral:rRNA from 1 species